rnacentral:rRNA from 1 species
AACGAACGCUGGCGGCAUGCUUAACACAUGCAAGUCGAACGAGACCUCCCGGUUUUGUGGCGCACGGGUGCGUAACGCGUGGGAACCUGCCCUUAGGUUCGCAAUCACUCCCCUUAAGGGGAGCUAAUACAGGUUAAUGUCAUCGCGGCAAAGAUUUAUCGCUUUUGGAUGGGUCUGCGUUGGAUUAGCCAGUUGGUAGGGUAAUAGCCUAUCAUGGGGACGAUCCAUAGCUGGUCGGUGAGGAUGAUCAGCCACACUGGGACUGAGACACGGCCCAGGCUCGUACGGGACGCAGGGGUGGGGAAUAUUGGACAAUGGGCGAGAGCCUGAUCCAGCAAUGCCGCGUGAGUGAUGAAGGCGUUAGGGUUGUAAAGCUCUUUUACCCGGGAUGAUAAUGACGGUACCGGGAGAAUAAGCUCCGGCUAACUCCGUG